GAAAUAUUGCAAUGCAGAGUACUUUCCAAAAUACGCCGAGAGUAUUCCUGAUGGUGAAACGAGCGUUGCUUCAUCGAACGCAGCUAAAGAAAACAACAUCUAUGUAGUUGGUGGUACGAUGCCUGAAAUAGGGGGCGAUAAAUUGUACAAUACCUGUACUAUUUGGGGUCCCGAUGGAACUUUGAUAGCAAAACACCGAAAGGUACAUCUAUUCGACAUCGACAUUCCUAAUAAGAUUACUUUUCGAGAGAGUGAUUCACUCAGUCCUGGUAACUCCCUAACGACGUUCGAUGUGAAGGGCUGCAAAAUAGGUAUUGGCAUUUGCUAUGAUAUUAGAUUCGAGGAAAUGGCACGCAUUUAUCGGAACAAAGGUUGCCAAAUGCUGAUAUAUCCAGCGGCAUUCAAUAUGACCACUGGACCACUGCACUGGUCAUUACUUCAGCGUUUCAGAGCGAAUGAUAAUCAAUUAUACGUUGCCUGCAUAUCACCGGCUCGUGUUCCUUAAGCAAGUUACGUCGCAUGGGGACAUACACAGUUGACCAAUCCCUGGGGAAAGAUUCUUUACGAUUUGGAAACUCAAGAGAAUAUGGCAGUCACCGAUAUCGAUCUAAAAGUUGUUGAGGAAGUAAGGGCUCAGAUACCUACAUUUUCUCAGAGACGUACAGAUUUGUACGACACUGUCUGUAAGAAGGAGUAACUCUACACUAAAACAGAAAAUGUUUUUUUUAUAAUAUUUCUACUACGAUAUCCUUUUUUUGUGAAUUAUUACUAAUUUCUUAUCAUUUGUACUAAAUGAAUGACUCAAUUAAGAAAACCAAAACGUUAUAAAUAAUAAUCUGUAUAUCUUGUGUAUCAACAUGUAAUUGGAUAUUAUAAUAAUAUAGGAAUGCUAUAAUAAUAUAGGAUAAUAAUAUAGGAGAAUA